UACGUAGGGUGCUAGCGUUGCUCGGAAUCACUGGGCGUAAAGGGUGCGUAGGCGGGUCUUUAAGUCAGGGGUGAAAUCCUGGAGCUCAACUCCAGAACUGCCUUUGAUACUGAGGAUCUUGAGUUCGGGAGAGGUGAGUGGAACUGCGAGUGUAGAGGUGAAAUUCGUAGAUAUUCGCAAGAACACCAGUGGCGAAGGCGGCUCACUGGCCCGAUACUGACGCUGAGGCACGAAAGCGUGGGGAGCAAACAGG
rnacentral:rRNA from 1 species